AAAUAUACAUUAAAACACACACACAUUACAAUGUGAUGCCCUUUAAAUUUUUUUUUUAAAGUUCAUCACUGGGUAGUACCAUAAGGAUGAUCACAUGAUCUGAAAAAUAUGAUAAUACUUGAGAUGGGAUUGACUAUCGCUGUAGAUUUCUGACAAAAUGCUUUGCAAAGGUAAUUUUUGCUAAUUCAUAGUAUACAAAUGAUGGGCUUUUACCAAGUUUAAUUUUGUUGUCUUUCAAGUGAUUUACCACUUCCUGUCCAAUUAUCUCUGGAGCAGGUUUCACCAUCAGUCAUCUUUGAAACCUAAUUUCAAAUACAGCAACUUUGGUAAGGAUGCAUUUUGUUGAUUCUAAAAACGUGGUUAAGGGACCUGUCGCUAGCGAUCACAGCGGACAUACUGUGCCCCAUGCUAAUCACUAGUUCUCAAUUUUAAAGACUAGGCUCACUGAGACAGUCACCCACCGCCGCGCCCCAGGUGUGAGUAACAAACUGCACAGGAACAACACGACUACCCUUGAGUGGGUGGGCCUCACAACUAGUUCUGAGCAGGAGCAAGAGACUACAGUUGACACUUAACAUGGGACUCAGGUGGAGGCUCCUGUUUCUCCUUUGAUGUCCAAUUGCUCCAGCACCAUUUGUUGAGAAGGCUGGCUGGCUUUCCUCCACUGAACUUGUAUUGCAUCGUUAUAAAAAAAUCAGUUGUGCAUAUUUA